rnacentral:rRNA from 1 species
CAGCCGCCACGGUAAUACGUAGGGUGCGAGCGUUGUCCGGAAUUACUGGGCGUAAAGAGCUCGUAGGCGGUUUGUCGCGUCGUCUGUGAAAUUCUGCAGCUUAACUGUAGGCGUGCAGGCGAUACGGGCAGACUUGAGUACUACAGGGGAGACUGGAAUUCCUGGUGUAGCGGUGAAAUGCGCAGAUAUCAGGAGGAACACCGGUGGCGAAGGCGGGUCUCUGGGUAGUAACUGACGCUGAGGAGCGAAAGCGUGGGUAGCGAACAGGAUUAGAUACCCCAGUAGUCCCUGUCUCUUAUAC